CUCCGCUCCUCGACCUAUCAAAUAGCGGCUACCCUGGGACCUCCCAUCGGAUUGGUGGAGAGAAGCACCAAUCGCCGCUGGAUCGGGAGGAGGAGCAGUCCGGGGGCGUUCUGUGUGCGGGGCUGCUCCGCCCGGGGCGGGCCGGGCCGGCGGACAGGGGUGACCCGAUGAGUCCGAGGUUCACAGGGAAAGCUGAACUAAGUGUGCGAGCACAACAGCUCGCAGCAGUGCCAAACAGCAGCUGAAGAAGGGCUCGAUGGUCUGUGAGUGGAAAGAUUUAGGGUACAGCCAUCCCAGACAAACUGUUGCCAAGACCGUUGUGUAAGGAUUUGGGAUUUUGUCUGACAACACAAGCUACGUCAUUGUGGUUUUGUCUUAACAAAACCAAACCUACUCCUGCGCUUCUACCCGAGAGGUAUCCAGGAGCAGUGAUCUUUCCAUGGCAAGGAGGAAGGAACAGAGGUGGUGGCUACAGGGGGAAAUGUUAAAGGAGAAUGUUUUUUCUGUGAUUUUUAAGCUGGCCAAAAGGCUGAAUGGAUGGCUAAAGAGGCGACUGCAGGUUGUAAGCGGGAGAGAAAGGACGUGGGAGGUGUCGGUGCUUCCAGCGGGCUGACCCUGCUGCCCUCUUCCUGGCAGCAAAACACUGAGCUCCUCGACUUAACCUCUCCGGCUGCAGAUAACACAGGGUUUAAUGUUCUGCCUCAUCUGCUCUGCCUCUGCCCUGCAGAUUACAAAAAGCGGUUUCUCAUCAGCCUGCAAAUGCGAACUGUACUCAAACAGACCUCAGCCGAGCCCCCUCUGUGUUUCUCCACCGGAGCCAGCGGAGCAGCCGCAGGGCUCACCGAGAGCAGGGCAACCACUUGCUGCAAAAGGCCUUUGGAUGGUUCCCAGCGCCUCACUCUCUGCCUUCCAGCUUAAUCCGGGAUGGGAUUUUUGGAGCACGAAUUCAGAGAGCCUUAAGGUGGCAGCAGCAGACAGCCCUCACGGCUGGCACCCCGCAGCGCAGCUCGGCUGGGUGAUCGGCAGCACCAGAGGGACCACAGGCUGGAAGGCAGCAGUCACUGCAGAGCCGGCAGAGAAGGGAACGUGGUGAGGUCAGGGCUAUCAGAAGAAAAGGUAAGUAAGGUCCUUCACACCCAGCAGGACAGGGUGAAUUUUGCACAACAAAACAUUAGGUAAGCAGGGACCUGCGGUGUCUGCCCCAAGUUGAGAUGGAUCUCCAGUCUGAGGAGUGCCCAUGAGAUGGAAAGCUACUGCUGCCUGACAUGCUCCAGAGUG